rnacentral:piRNA from 1 species
UGAUCUGAAAGUCACCCUGUGCCCAUUUGC